rnacentral:rRNA from 1 species
UACGGAGGGUGCAAGCGUUGUUCGGAAUCACUGGGCGUAAAGCGCGUGUAGGCGGCCUUCUUAGUCUGGUGUGAAAGCCCGGGGCUCACCCCCGGAAGUGCAUUGGAUACUGGAAGGCUGGAGUACCGGAGAGGAGGGUGGAAUUCCUGGUGUAGCGGUGAAAUGCGUAGAUAUCAGGAGGAACACCGGUGGCGAAGGCGGCCCUCUGGACGGAUACUGACGCUGAGACGCGAAAGCGUGGGGAGCGAACAGG